rnacentral:rRNA from 1 species
AGAGUUUGAUCUUGGCUCUGGAUGAACGCUGGGCGGCGUGCUUAACACACGCAAGUCGAACGAAGCAAUUAGAAGAAAGUUUUCUGAUGGAAUUUUAAUUGAGUGAGUGGCGGACGGGUGAGUGUCGCGUGGGUAUCACGCGUCAUACACAGGGAUAUCACUUAGAAAUGAGUGUUAAUACCGCAUAUGCGCACACGAUUGCAUGAUCCUGUGUGAAAAACUCCGGUGGUAUGAGAUGGACCCGCGUGUGAUUAGCUGGUUGGUGGGGUAACGGCCUUCCACGGCGACGAUCUACUAUCCGACCUGAGAGGGUGACCGGCCACACAGGGAGUGAGACACGGCCCACACUCUUACGGGAGGCAGCACUGGGGAAUAUUGCACACUGGGGGAAACCCCGAUGCAGCAACGCCGCGUGAGUGAAGAAGUAUUUCGGUAUGUAAAGCUCUAUCUGCACGGAAGAAAAUGACGGUACACGAGUAAGAAGCCCCGGCUAACUACGUGCCACCACCCGCGGUAAUAUGUAGGGGGCACGCGUUAUCUCGAUUUAUUGGGUGUAAAGGGAGAGUAGACGGCGAUGCAAGUGCCAAGUGAAAGCCCGCGGCUCUACCCUGGGACUACUUUGGAAACUGUAUGCCUGGAGUGUUGGAGAGAAGUAUGCGGAAUGCGCGGUGUAGCGGUGAAAUGCAUAGAUAUCGCGCAGAACUCCGAUUGGGAAGGCAGCAUACCGGCUCCAUACUGACGCUGAGGCACGAAAGCGUGGGUAUCGAACAGGAUUAGAUACCCUGGUAGUCCACGCAGUAAACGAUGAAUGCUGGCUGUCCGGAGGGAUUGACCUCUGGGUGGCGAAGCGAAAGCGAUAAGCAUUCCACCUGGGGAGUACGCCGGCAACGGUGAAACUCAAAGGAAUUGACGGGGGCCCGCACAAGCGGAGGAACAUGUGGUUUAAUUCGAUGAUACGCGAGGAACCUUACCCGGGCUCAAACGGGAGAUGCCGUCAGCAGAGACGCUGAUUUCCUACGGGACAUCUUCCGAGGUGCUGCAUGGUUGUCGUCAGCUCGUGCCGUGAGGUGUCGGCUUAAGUGCCAUAACGAGCGCAACCCCUGCGGACAGUUGCUAACAGUAUAAGCUGAGGACUCUGCCCGGACUGCCGGCGCAAGCCGUGAGGAAGGCGGGGAUGACGUCAAAUCAGCACGGCCCUUACGUCCGGGGCGACACACGUGUUACAAUGGGUGGUACAGCGGGAAGCCAGGUGGCGACACCGAGCGGAACCCGAAAACCACUCUCAGUUCGGAUCGGAGUAUGCAACCCGACUCCGAGAAGCUGGAUUCGCUAGUAAUCGCGCAUCAGCCAUGGCGCGGUGAAUAAGUUCCCGGCCCUAGCACACACCACCCGUCA